rnacentral:rRNA from 15 species
AAAUCCGGAGUGAUUAUCUGAAGCGUGAUGACGAGUCUCUUUUGAGACGAAGUGGUUGAUACCAUGCUUCCAAGAAAAGUCCCUAAGCUUCAGGCAAAAGGAAUCCGUACCCCAAACCGACACAGGUGGUUGGGUAGAGAAUACCAAGGCGCUUGAGAGAACUCGGGUGAAGGAACUAGGCAAAAUGGCACCGUAACUUCGGGAGAAGGUGCGCCGGUGAGGGUGAAGGACUUGCUCCGUAAGCUCAUGCCGGUCGAAGAUACCAGGCCGCUGCGACUGUUUAUUAAAAACACAGCACUCUGCAAACACGAAAGUGGACGUAUAGGGUGUGACGCCUGCCCGGUGCUGGAAGAUUAAAUGAUGGGGUGCAAGCUCUUGAUUGAAGUCCCAGUAAACGGCGGCCGUAACAAUAACGGUCCUAAGGUAGCGAAAUUCCUUGUCGGGUAAGUUCCGACCUGCACGAAUGGCGUAACGACUUCCCCGCUGUCUCAACCGCGAACUCGGCGAAAUUGCACUACGAGUAAAGAUGCUCGUUACGCGCAGCAGGACGGAAAGACCCCGGGACCUUCACUAUAGCUUGGUAUUGGUGUUCGGGACGGCUUGUGUAGGAUAGGUGGGAGACUGUGAAGCGGUCACGCUAGUGAUGGUGGAGUCAACGUUGAAAUACCACUCUGGUCGUUCUGGAUGUCUAACUUCGGUCCGUGAUCCGGAUCAGGGACAGUGCCUGGUGGGUAGUUUAACUGGGGCGGUUGCCUCCUAAAGAGUAACGGAGGCGCCCAAAGGUUCCCUCAGCCUGGUUGGCAAUCAGGUGUUGAGUGUAAGUGCACAAGGGAGCUUGACUGUGAGACAGACAUGUCGAGCAGGGACGAAAGUCGGGACUAGUGAUCCGGCAGUGGCUUGUGGAAGCGCUGUCGCUCAACGGAUAAAAGGUACCCCGGGGAUAACAGGCUGAUCUUGCCCAAGAGUCCAUAUCGACGGCAUGGUUUGGCACCUCGAUGUCGGCUCGUCGCAUCCUGGGGCUGGAGUAGGUCCCAAGGGUUGGGCUGUUCGCCCAUUAAAGCGGUACGCGAGCUGGGUUUAGAACGUCGUGAGACAGUUCGGUCCCUAUCCGCUGCGCGCGGAGGAAACUUGAGAAGGGCUGUCCCUAGUACGAGAGGACCGGGAUGGACGAACCUCUGGUGUGUCAGUUGUUCCGCCAGGAGCACCGCUGAUUAGCUACGUUCGGGAUGGAUAACCGCUGAAAGCAUCUAAGCGGGAAGCCCACCUCAAGAUGAGAUAUCACGGAUCUUAAGAUCCCUAAAGAGCCCUUGUAGACAACAAGGUUGAUAGGCGCGAUGUGGAAGUGCAGUAAUGCAUGGAGCUAACGCGUACUAAUUGCUCGUGAGG